GACGUAGGGCGCGAGCGUUGUCCGGAUUUAUUGGGCGUAAAGAGCUCGUAGGCGGCUUGUUGCGUCGGCUGUGAAAACCCAUGGCUCAACCGUGGGCUUGCAGCCGAUACGGGCAGGCUAGAGUUCGGUAGGGGAGGACUGGAAUUCCUGGUGUAGCGGUGAAAUGCGCAGAUAUCAUCAGGAACUCCGGUGGCGAAGGCGGCAUGCUGGACCUUCACUGACGCUGAGGCGCGAAAGCUAGGGUAGCGAACGGG
rnacentral:rRNA from 1 species